rnacentral:rRNA from 1 species
GAUGAACGCUGGCGGCGUGCCUAAUACAAGCAAGUCGAGCGAACAGACGAGGAGCUUGCUCCUCUGACGUUAGCGGCGGACGGGUGAGUAACACGUGGAUAACCUACCUAUAAGACUGGGAUAACUUCGGGAAACCGGAGCUAAUACCGGAUAAUAUAUUGAACCGCAUGGUUCAAUAGUGAAAGACGGUUUUGCUGUCACUUAUAGAUGGAUCCGCGCCGCAUUAGCUAGUUGGUAAGGUAACGGCUUACCAAGGCAACGAUGCGUAGCCGACCUGAGAGGGUGAUCGGCCACACUGGAACUGAGACACGGUCCAGACUCCUACGGGAGGCAGCAGUAGGGAAUCUUCCGCAAUGGGCGAAAGCCUGACGGAGCAACGCCGCGUGAGUGAUGAAGGUCUUCGGAUCGUAAAACUCUGUUAUUAGGGAAGAACAAAUGUGUAAGUAACUAUGCACGUCUUGACGGUACCUAAUCAGAAAGCCACGGCUAACUACGUG